rnacentral:ncRNA from 1 species
GAUUCUCCUUGUAGAGCACAAGGAGCAUAAACAAAAAAAGGCUCAAUGGAU